ACGACCAUACCACAUUGAAAACACCGGUUCUCGUCCGAUCACCGAAGUUAAGCAAUGUCGGGCCCGGUCAGUACUUGGGAGGGUGACCACCUGGGAACACCGGGUGCUGUAGGCU
rnacentral:rRNA from 1 species